UAAGGAAUAUUGGUCAAUGGACGCAAGUCUGAACCAGCCAUGCCGCGUGGAGGAUGAAGGUCCUCUGGAUUGUGAACUUCUUUUAUCUGGGACGAAACACUUCUUUUCUAAGAGGCCUGACGGUACCAGAUGAAUAAGCACCGGCUAACUCCGUGCCAGCAGCCGCGGUAAUACGGAGGGUGCAAGCGUUAUCCGGAUUCACUGGGUUUAAAGGGUGCGUAGGUGGGUAUGUAAGUCAGUGGUGAAAUCCCCGAGCUUAACUUGGGAACUGCCAUUGAUACUAUAUAUCUUGAAUACCGUAGAGGUAAGCGGAAUAUGUCAUGUAGCGGUGAAAUGCUUAGAUAUGACAUGGAACACCGAUUGCGAAGGCAGCUUACUAUGCGGUGAUUGACACUGAGGCACGAAAGCGUGGGUAGCAAACA
rnacentral:rRNA from 1 species